rnacentral:rRNA from 1 species
GGGUUGUAAUUAUUAGAUAAAGAACCAAUAUUUUUGGUGACUCAUAAUAACUUUACGGAUCACAUUAUGUGACAUAUCAUUCAAGUUUCUGACCUAUCAGCUUUAGACGGUAGGGUAUUGGCCUACCGUGGCUAUGACGGGUAACGGGGAAUUAGGGUUCGAUUCCGGAGAGGGAGCCUGAGAAACGGCUACCACAUCUAAGGAAGGCAGCAGGCGCGCAAAUUACCCAAUCCUAAUACAGGGAGGUAGUGACAAGAAAUAACAAUACAGGACCUUACGGUUUUGUAAUUGGAAUGAGUUAAGUAUAAACCCCUUAACAAGUAUCAAUUGGAGGGCAAGUCUGGUGCCAGCAGCCGCGGUAAUUCCAGCUCCAAUAGCGUAUAUUAAAGUUGUUGCAGUUAAAAAGCUCGUAGUUAAUUUUCUGUUAAUUUUUAUAUACAAUACUACGGUAUUUAUAUAAUAUUAACAUAAUUCAUAUUACUUUUUAGUAUAUGAAACUUUACUUUGAGAAAAUUAGAGUGCUUAAAGCAGGCUAUUGCCUUGAAUACUCCAGCAUGGAAUAAUAUUAAGGAUUUUUAUUCUUCUUAUUGGUUCUAGAAUAAAAAUAAUGAUUAAUAGGGACAGUUGGGGGCAUUUGUAUUUAACAGUCAGAGGUGAAAUUCUUAGAUUUGUUAAAGACAAACUACUGCGAAAGCAUUUGCCAAGGAUGUUUUCAUUAAUCAAGAACGAAAGUUAGGGGAUCGAAGACGAUCAGAUACCGUCGUAGUCUUAACCAUAAACUAUGCCAACUAGAGAUUGGAGGUUGUUCCUUACUCCUUUA